GACAGGAAGAGGUGAAACAGGAAGCAGCCUGGUGCAGACUUCAUCCAGCUGGGGCCGUGGACAGCAGCCCAGAGGCUGUGCCUACUGACACUACUGCUGGGAACGGAGCCCGCGCCAGGCCCAGGGGGAAAGUGGGAGGCUGAAUGCCCCUGUCAGGCCUCACCCUUGACCUGUCCGUCCAGAGCACAGUGUGCACAGAGGAGACUGCUUUCCUUGGGAACAUAACGAGGUUGUUGGCUGGCAUGGGAAGGCCACGUCCUGGUCACGUGCCACACGUGCAUUGUGGGGUGGUUGAGGCCCCUGUGUGGCAUCAUCCUGGGUCCAGUUUGAAAGAGAGCCAAUACCUCAGAUAUCACCAGGGAUGACAGCAGAGGGACAGGAAGGCACAAGGGCUCUCCAACACGCCAUUGGAAAGUACGUCCACUCAUGUUUGACCAGCCAGGGCCAGUCGCAUGGGCAGGGAAGUGGAAUCCUACCACGGGCCCUGAAGGAGAAUGGGCGUCUUCGGUGAGCAAGUUUAUAUUUGGAGUCUACCCCUCUCUCCUUUCACACAAAUGAGGGCUUACCCACUGUUCUGUAUCCUGCCUUCCUACUUAAAACGUCUUGGAGAUUGUUCCAUACCAAGCAAAGUGGGCAGACAGAAGGGCACCCACGUUCUCUUUCAUGGACUGCCUCACUCUGUUGAAUUCCUGUUUCUCUCCCUGCAGCAAGUACACUUAGUUGGGUGCACGUGGUGCGUAAACACGUGACUUCACACCCUCGUGAUAACAGGUGAAGAGCAGCAGAGCAGCCUACAUAUGGGAAUUCUGUUUUGUGAGAAAAUUAUUUGCAUAAGGAGAAUUCUGGAAGAAAACAUAAAAACACAAAUAGCAUUGACUCUGAGCUGUUGGUUGGCCUUCCCCUUGCUUCUCUGAAUUCUCUGACAGUCACUGUUGUCGUC
rnacentral:lncRNA from 1 species